rnacentral:rRNA from 1 species
GUCUACGGCCAUACUACCCUGAACGCGCCCGAUCUCGUCUGAUCUCGGAAGCUAAGCAGGGUCGGGACUGGUUAGUACUUGGAUGGGAGACCUCCUGGGAAUACUGGGUGCUGUAGGCU